rnacentral:rRNA from 7 species
GAUGAACGCUAGCGGCAGGCCUAACACAUGCAAGUCGAGGGGUAACAGGGAUUGCUUGCAAUCCGCUGACGACCGGCGCACGGGUGCGUAACGCGUAUGCAACCUACCUUUUACAGGGGUAUAGUCAAGAGAAAUUUUGAAUAACACCCCAUACGAUCAUUUUUACACCUGUAAAGAUGAAGAAAACUCCGGUGGUAAAAGAUGGGCAUGCGUCCUAUUAGUUAGUUGGUGAGGUAACGGCUCACCAAGACCGCGAUAGGUAGGGGUCCUGAGAGGGAGAUCCCCCACACUGGUACUGAGACACGGACCAGACUCCUACGGGAGGCAGCAGUGAGGAAUAUUGGACAAUGGAGGCAACUCUGAUCCAGCCAUGCCGCGUGCAGGAAGACUGCCCUAUGGGUUGUAAACUGCUUUUAUACAGGAAGAAACCUUGGUACGUGUACCAAGCUGACGGUACUGUAAGAAUAAGGAUCGGCUAACUCCGUGCCAGCAGCCGCGGUAAUACGGAGGAUCCAAGCGUUAUCCGGAAUCAUUGGGUUUAAAGGGUCCGCAGGCGGUCUUUUAAGUCAGAGGUGAAAUCCUAUCGCUCAACGAUAGAACUGCCUUUGAUACUGAAAGACUUGAGUUAUUGUGAAGUGGUUAGAAUAUGUAGUGUAGCGGUGAAAUGCAUAGAUAUUACAUAGAAUACCGAUUGCGAAGGCAGAUCACUAACAAUACACUGACGCUGAG